rnacentral:lncRNA from 1 species
UCUUUCAAUACUCUUUAAAAUUAAAAUUUUCUCUUAUAAUCUUCUACAAAAAUUACUUUAUCAAAUUAGGUGGAACAUUUCUACAUUUUAAUAUUUUUUUCCCUCGUCCAAACCCUCCCUUAAUUUCCCUCUCUUAAAACUCCCAAAUAGAAGCCUUAAAGAUUUUCAAUCCCCUAAGAGAAAGAAUAAUAAAAGCCAACUCCACGAUAUUAAUUUUACUUGUUCUAGUAAGUCUUCCCAUUCAGAUUGCUUUUCCACACAAAAAUAGCUUGAUUGUGAGAUUUCCAAAUAAUCCAUUUACUUAAGAAUUGUUUUUAGUUGACCAAGUCAUUUACUUGAGGGAUUAAGUUAGUUGUUAGUUGUUGUCAACAUAUUCAAUUAGGGAUUAAUCCUCUAACUCAAUCACCACAUUUCAUCUUUUGCUAUAUAUCAUUUAUUUGAUCUCAUUGUAUUUCACAAGUUCAAUCUUAAUCAAUGACAUGAAAGUACUGU